rnacentral:rRNA from 1 species
UAAUACGGAGGGUGCAAGCGUUAUCCGGAUUCACUGGGUUUAAAGGGUGCGUAGGCGGGCAGUUAAGUCAGUGGUGAAAUCUCCGGGCUCAACCCGGAAACUGCCGUUGAUACUAUCUGUCUUGAAUGUUGUGGAGGUGAGCGGAAUAUGUCAUGUAGCGGUGAAAUGCUUAGAUAUGACAUAGAACACCGAUUGCGAAGGCAGCUCACUACACAGAAAUUGACGCUGAGGCACGAAAGCGUGGGGAUCAAACAGGAUUAGAUACCCUGGUAGUCCACGCCCUAAACGAUGAUUACUCGACGUGCGCGAUAAACAGUGCGCGUCUGAGCGAAAGCAUUAAGUAAUCCACCUGGGAAGUACGACCGCAAGGUUG